rnacentral:misc_RNA from 1 species
CGAAAUCGUCGUCAAAACCCUAACCCUAUCCCACCUUCUCCAGCUAUGCUUUCUGACUUAGCUUCCGAUUCCGGUGACGGACGACAGGAGGAAACCGCUUCUUCCUCCUCCGCUGCCGUGAUGAAUUCGGACGAGGAAGAGGAGGAAGAAGAUAUGGGAUAUAAGUCGCCUGAUGAUGAGGUGAGUACGACGUUGUUUUCAGGAACGGAGAUAGAGGAUGAGCUGGAAGGUAAUCGUGAACCGACAGCCGAGGAUGAGGACCUUCGGGAGUUGGAUGGUGCAUCUUCUAAGAGCCUUGUGGUUGUUGAGACAGAGAAUGCGUUUUUGAGGACGGAGAAGCCUCCUACUGAUGAUUGUUGUCCAAUCUGCUUUGGAAAUUUUGUCGUUCCUUGCCGAGGUCCUUGUGGCCACUGGUACUGCGGAGGUUGUAUUUUGCAGUAUUGGAACUAUGGUGCCGCACUUCAGCCUUGUAACUGCCCCAUGUGUUCGAGGAAGCUUACUGAUUUGACACCAGAG